GUGUUUGUUUCAGCAGCACAUAUACUAAAAUUGGAACAAUACAGAGAGGAUUAGCAUGGUCCCUGUACAAGGAUGACAUACAAAUUUGUGAAGCAUUCCAUAUUCUU
ensembl:snRNA U6 U6 spliceosomal RNA